rnacentral:rRNA from 1 species
CAGCAGCCACGGGAAUACGAAGGGGGCUAGCGUUGCUCGGAAUGACUGGGCGUAAAGGGCGCGUAGGCGGCGAUCAAAGUCAGGCGUGAAAUUCCUGGGCUCAACCUGGGGGCUGCGUUUGAUACUUGGUUGCUAGAGUGAGGAAGAGGGUCGUGGAAUUCCCAGUGUAGAGGUGAAAUUCGUAGAUAUUGGGAAGAACACCGGUGGCGAAGGCGGCGACCUGGUCCUUGACUGACGCUGAGGCGCGAAAGCGUGGGGAGCAAACAGGAUUAGAUACCCCAGUAGUCCCUGUCUCUUAUAU